rnacentral:sRNA from 1 species
GGACUGGGAAUGACACAGGUGAGCCAGA